GAUGAAGAACGUAGCGAAAUGCGAUAAGUAAUGUGAAUUGCAGAAUUCAGUGAAUCAUCGAAUCUUUGAACGCACCUUGCGCCCUUUGGUAUUCCGAAGGGCACACCUGUUUGAGUGUCAUUAAUUCCUCAACCCUAUCAUUUCUUAAUAAUUGAUUUGUUGGUGGUUGGAUGUUGAGCGUUGCUGGACUCUCUUUAGUUCAGCUCGCUUUAAAUGUAUGAGCAGGCUCCUAUCCUUUUGGACUGACUCAACGUGAUAAGAAAUUUCGUUGAGGACGCUUUCAAGCGGCCAGAUGUUAGGGAAAUGCCGCUACUAGUUGACCCUCAUAUUUUAGACCUCAAAUCAGGUGGGACUACCCGCUGAACUUAAGCAUAUCAAUAAGCGGAGGA
rnacentral:misc_RNA from 1 species